GCAAACUUGGUCAUUUAGAGGAAGUAAAAGUCGUAACAAGGUUUCCGUAGGUGAACCUGCGGAAGGAUCAUCUUUGAAUUUGAUCUCUAUUUCCAGGGAGUCUGGCGCCCCGCUUUGGGGUCUAGGCUUUCUUACUCUCUGGGAAUUUGCAUUUGUCUUCUGACAAGUGCACUUUCCCGCACACACUUUAAAACAAUAUUAUACAACUUUUAACGAUGGAUCUCUUGGCUCCCGCAUCGAUGAAGAACGCAGC
rnacentral:misc_RNA from 1 species